GAUGAACGCUGGCGGCGUGCCUAAUACAUGCAAGUCGAGCGAACGGACGAGAAGCUUGCCUCUCUGAUGUUAGCGGCGGACGGGUGAGUAACACGUGGAUAACCUACCUAUAAGACUGGGAUAACUUCGGGAAACCGGAGCUAAUACCGGAUGAUAUUUUGAACCGCAUGGUUCAAAAGUGAAAGACGGUCUUGCUGUCACUUAUAGAUGGAUCCGCGCUGCAUUAGCUAGUUGGUAAGGUAAUGGCUUACCAAGGCAACGAUGCAUAGCCGACCUGAGAGGGGGAUCGGCCACACUGGAACUGAGACACGGUCCAGACUCCUACGGGAGGCAGCAGUAGGGAAUCUUACGCAAUGGGCGAAAGCCUGACGGAGCAACGCCGCGUGAGUGAUGAAGGUCUUCGGAUCGUAAAACUCUGUUAUUAGGGAAGAACAUAUGUGUAAGUAACUGUGCACAUCUUGACGGUACCUAAUCAGAAAGCCACGGCUAACUACGUG
rnacentral:rRNA from 1 species